AGGACGAACGCUGGCGGCGUGCUUAACACAUGCAAGUCACGGGGGCCCGUGGCAAUACGGGCAACCGGCGAACGGGUGCGUAACACGUGAGCAAUCUGCCGAUCUCUGGGGGAUAGCCAGCCUAACGGCUGGGUAAUACCGCAUACGCUCGUUGGGGGGAGUCCCCUGAUGAGGAAACCUCCGGGGGAGAUCGAGGAGCUCGCGACCUAUCAGCUAGUUGGCGGGGUAACGGCCCACCAAGGCAGCGACGGGUAGCUGGUCUGAGAGGAUGGCCAGCCACAUUGGGACUGCGACACGGCCCAGACUCCUACGGGAGGCAGCAGUGGGGGAAUAUUGCGCAAUGGACGAAAGUCUGACGCAGCGACGCCGCGUGUGGGAUGAAGCCUUUCGGGGUGUAAACCACUGUUGCCCGGGACGAAACUCCUCUUUCGAGAGGAUUGACGGUACCGGGUGAGGAAGCACCGGCUAACUCUGUGCCAGCAGCCGC
rnacentral:rRNA from 1 species